rnacentral:rRNA from 1 species
UGGGGAAUAUUGCACAAUGGGCGCAAGCCUGAUGCAGCCAUGCCGCGUGUGUGAAGAAGGCCUUCGGGUUGUAAAGCACUUUCAGCGGGGAGGAAGGCGAUAAGGUUAAUAACCUUGUCGAUUGACGUUACCCGCAGAAGAAGCACCGGCUAACUCCGUGCCAGCAGCCGCGGUAAUACGGAGGGUGCAAGCGUUAAUCGGAAUUACUGGGCGUAAAGCGCACGCAGGCGGUCUGUCAAGUCGGAUGUGAAAUCCCCGGGCUUAACCUGGGAACUGCAUCUGAUACUGGCAAGCUGGAGUCUCGUAGAGGGGGGGAGAAUUCCAGGUGUAGCGGUGAAAUGCGUAGAGAUCUGGAGGAAUACCGGUGGCGAAGGCGGCCCCCUGGACGAAGACUGACGCUCAGGUGCGAAAGCGUGGGGAGCAAACAGG